GGCAACCAGCUUGGGUCUGCUCCCACGCUGUUGGGGCGGGGGCGGGGGGGGGGUUGUUCUUUUGCUCCUUGGGUCCACACUGCGUUUAUGAGCUGUAAUAUUCACCGCAAAGGUCUGCAGCUUCACUACUAAGCCAACGAGACCACAAACCCACCAGGAGGAACGACAAUUCCAGACGCGUGGCUUUAACAGCUGUUAACACUCACCGCGAAGGUCUGUAGCUUCAUUUCUGAGUCAGCGAGACCACGAACCCACCAGAAAGAAGAAACUCCGAACACACCCGAACCUCAGAAGGAACAAAUUCCGGACACGCCGCCUUUAAGAACUGUAACACUCACCACAAGGGUCCGCGGCUUCAUUCUUGAAGUCAGUGAGACCAAGAACCCACUAAUUCCGGACACACUUUGACCAGCAGAGCAGGCAGAAGUAAAGCCACGGUUCACAGAAGUGCCUGGGAGAAGCAGCAGCCCCGGGAGAGGCUUAACUAGCAGAGCACUGAGGCCCACCGACAGCCAUGUGCAUGAGCUUGGAAGCACAUCUCCCCAACCCACCCCAGUCAAGCCUGCAGAUGAGACCUCAGCUGCAGCUGACAACUCGGCUACAACUUUGUGAGAGACCUGGAGCCAAAAGCACCUAGCUAAGCUGUGCCUGUAUUUCUGACCCACAGAAACUCUGAGUUGUUCCAGCUUUUGCCAGUGGAAGCCCCUCCAAGAUGGAGAAGCUCUACUUUAAAUUCCAGGCCCCUAAGGAAAGGUUUGCAAGAGGGCUCUCUCCAGCCAUCCACCCCCACCACCCUUAGAAACUCCUGCUACACACCAUGGAUGGGGAAGUGAAGGGAAAGGGUAAUGAGACACAAUGGGGGAGGAGUCACUUGAGUAGUUAUACUAUUUCGGGAAUGAGGUAUACUGGAAAAAGCAAGUGAACAUCCAAACUCCUGAGGUCUGGUUCUGGUGGCCUUAACCAAUUUACUCUGUGUCAUUAAGGCCUAUGACCUAGGCUCUCUGUGCCUCACAUGCAGGUUUGCUGUGGGGCUUGGUACAGACACUACAUGUGGUAGAAGGCAGAGAGUCCUACAAACAUGUCAGAUGGCAUCCUCAGGGCCUGUGCCCCAAAGUCAUGUACCAAAAGGAAGACAAGGAGGUGGGGAAGAAGGACCCAGGUGUCCAAAAUGCCUUUCCACAGCUGAGGCCUGUUAAUUAGGAGAAAAUUGUAAACACCUCAACACUGCAGCAUGGGAGGGAGGAAGAAAUUGGUCUGAGAAAGCUCCCAAGCUCCCCUAAGGAGGCAGAGGUGGUAAACUCAGGUUUCUUUGAUCCAUUUCAGCCUCUGGAUCUCCAGGCCUGCCCCCUAUCUCUACAGCCCAGAGGAGGUGACAUUAACCAGUGCAUCUGAGUGGUGCAGAGGAAAACUGACUUUGAUGUCCAUAUAAACCCAGUGCCCAGGUCAUGUCUGUUCUCCACUGGCAAUGGGCUGAGCAGAGCCAAGUUCUCAGUUAACUUCCCCAGCCCUCCCUCCUGCCUAACUCCAUUCCCACCCCCGACUUGAACUUCCUAAAGGCAGUGAGUGAGAUUAAAGGCUUGAUCAAUGAAAACUAUUAUUAUUGUUUACUCCUGAGCCUUCUGAUGUUAUUGCAUUGCAAGAAAGCUGUCUGGGCCUCCACCAGGAAUAAUAACACAACCUUUCUUCCAGUUUGGGAGGCAUUGGAGGCUCCUUACACAUGAUCACUCCUAUUCUUUCCUCUACUCAGGCCCAGCUUACCCCACCCCCAGCAACCUCCCCUUCCCAUCCCUUUCAUUCUCCCCAUUGAGACUGGAUGUUAAGGUUCUCUAAAAGCCCAUGGGUUGAGCAUUUCACAUCUCUCUUAUAAAGACAGUGAAGCUGCAUCUCAGUGAGGUAUUUUCUCACUCCACCACCCCAGGCCUACGGUAGAGCAAAGAAUGGAUCAUGUGUAACAGCCUAAGAGAAACUCAGGUGUGCAACAGAGAAGCUGGGUAUCCUUCCGCUAUCAGCUUCUCUCAGCAAAGGGGCCUCCCUGUGUGUGUCCUGCCUCUACUAGGCUUGGCCUGUUUUGUUUGCCCUAAGAAUGUUCACACCAAUUGUUUAGCAACAGCAGGCAGAAAUCACUGUAGGGAAAACAGCUGUCACCAGACCCUCUCAGCAUUACCAGGUGCCUGGGAGUGUUUCCCUGCACACACUCUCCAUUGGGGCACGUGCAGCACACAUAUGCACAUGUCUCUCCACCCUCUCAGAAGACCCUCUCAUGUCGACUUCUCCCUCACAAUCCCCACUCACACAGCCCUCUCCUAACUGCCAGCCCUCAGCUGACUUGAGGAAGUCAGGUUAACUUCUCAGACUGGCCUCUACUUGCCAGGGACUAUGCUGGGGCAUUGCAAGCCACUGAUGCUCAGCCGUGCAGCCUCACAGCUGAGGGCAAGCACUCCUGCCCUCUAUUCAGUUCAACAGACAUUACCCAGUGUUAUAGACUGAACUGUGCCUGCUCCCUGCCCGGCCCCAAAUUCAUAUGUUGAAGCCCUAACCCCCAGUGUGACUAUAUUUGGAAACAGGGACUUUAGAGAGGUCAUGAAGGUAAAAUGAGAUCACAAGGUGUGGCUCUAGUCCAAUAGGACUGGUGUUCUUAUGAGAAGAGGUAGAAACACCAGGAGUAAGUGUACACAGAAGAAAGGCCAUGUGAAGACACAGCAGAAGGUGCCCAUCUCCAAGCCCAAGAGAGAGGCUUCAGGAGAAACCAACAUUGCUAACACCUUGAUCUUGGACUUCCAGCCUCCAAAACUAUGAGAAAAUAAAUUUAUGUUUUUAAGCCACUCAUUCUGUGCUAUUUUGUUGUGGCAGCCCCAGCCAACUAAUACACCUAGACUUACCUACCUUUACCCAGACCCUUAAGAGAUGAGAGAUAUGAAGAUGAAUAUGGCAUGACUUCUGUCCUCAGCGGUUUAAAA
rnacentral:lncRNA from 10 species